GUGCUGAAAUGGACCACGAAGAAAUGUUCGAGCUGCCCGAAGGAGUGGAUACUUCUCGAGCGGAGGCCGGAGUACCAGGCCCUGACAGCUUUGCGGAGUGUGGCGGGGAAGCCGACGCAAAGGAGGGCAUCGGUUGCCCCUUGAAUUGUCAUAAGAGCCUUGUAGCUCUCCAGAUGGUCAAUUGGGUCGGUGGAGCCGUCGUAAGGCUCCACAUGAGGCAUUUUGAACCGACUAGGGAUCGGUUCGUCGGGGAUGAAUUGGGAGAGAGGUUGGAUGGUUCGGAAGUCAACGUCGUUCGAUGACUUCUGACCAUCCGUCUGGAGCUGGGCAAGCCGACGGUCGAUUUCCUCAAACUUGCGCUCGUAGUUGUCUAACCGUCGGUGUUGAGAAACCCCAAGAGUCGAUCCUCCCGACGAAUUUGAGAGUGAGGCGGACGGUGUCCGCGGUCGCUUCUCCUUCCUCGCUCGCUCUAGCUGGGAAGGAGAGGGUCGUCGA
rnacentral:lncRNA from 1 species